rnacentral:rRNA from 1 species
AGUGAACGCUGGCGGUAGGCCUAACACAUGCAAGUCGAACGGCAGCACAGUAAGAGCUUGCUCUUACGGGUGGCGAGUGGCGGACGGGUGAGGAAUACAUCGGAAUCUACUUUUUCGUGGGGGAUAACGUAGGGAAACUUCCGCUAAUACCGCAUACGACCUACGGGUGAAAGCAGGGGAUCUUCGGACCUUGCGCGAUUGAAUUAGCCGAUGUCGGAUUAGCUAGUUGGCGGGGUAAAGGCCCACCAAGGCGACGAUCCGUAGCUGGUCUGAGAGGAUGAUCAGCCACACUGGAACUGAGACACGGUCCAGACUCCUACGGGAGGCAGCAGUGGGGAAUAUUGGACAAUGGGCGCAAGCCUGAUCCAGCCAUACCGCGUGGGUGAAGAAGGCCUUCGGGUUGUAAAGCCCUUUUGUUGGGAAAGAAAAGCAGCAGGUUAAUACCCCGCUGUUCUGACGGUACCCAAAGAAUAAGCACCGGCUAACUUCGUG